UACGGAGGGAGCUAGCGUUGUUCGGAAUUACUGGGCGUAAAGCGCACGUAGGCGGCCUAUCAAGUCAGGGGUGAAAUCCCGGGGCUCAACCCCGGAACUGCCCUUGAAACUGGUAAGCUAGAAUCCUGGAGAGGCGAGUGGAAUUCCGAGUGUAGAGGUGAAAUUCGUAGAUAUUCGGAAGAACACCAGUGGCGAAGGCGACUCGCUGGACAGGUAUUGACGCUGAGGUGCGAAAGCGUGGGGAGCAAAC
rnacentral:rRNA from 1 species